rnacentral:rRNA from 1 species
UAGGGAAUCUUCGGCAAUGGACGAAAGUCUGACCGAGCAACGCCGCGUGAGUGAAGAAGGUUUUCGGAUCGUAAAACUCUGUUGGUAGAGAAGAUCGUUGGUGAGAGUGGAAAGCUCAUCAAGUGACGGUAACUACCCAGAAAGGGACGGCUAACUACGUGCCAC